rnacentral:rRNA from 1 species
AGUGAACGCUGGCGGUAGGCCUAACACAUGCAAGUCGAACGGCAGCACAGGAGAGCUUGCUCUCUGGGUGGCGAGUGGCGGACGGGUGAGGAAUACAUCGGAAUCUACCUUGUCGUGGGGGAUAACGUAGGGAAACUUACGCUAAUACCGCAUACGACCUUCGGGUGAAAGUGGGGAACGCAAGGCAUCACGCGAUUAGAUGAGCCGAGGUCGGAUUAGCUAGUUGGCGGGGUAAAAGCCCACCAAAGCAACGAUCCGUAGCUGGUAUGAGGGGAUGAUCAGCUACACUGGAAAUGAGAAACGGUCCAGACUCCUACGGGAGGCAGCAGUGGGGAAUAUUGGACAAUGGGCGCAAGCCUGAUCCAGCCAUACCGCGUGAGUGAAGAAGGCCUUCGGGUUGUAAAGCCCUUUUGUUGGGAAAGAAAUCCUGUCGAUUAAUACUUGGCGGGGAUGACGGUACCCAAAGAAUAAGCACCGGCUAACUUCGUGCCAGCCGCCGCAGUAACAC